GGAAAGGUGACCGAGUGGUUUAAGGUGUAGCAUUGGAAAUGCUACGUAGGCCCCCGUCUACCGAGGGUUCGAAUCCCUCCCUUUCCU
rnacentral:tRNA from 1 species